CCAACCGCUAAUCUCUCUAUCUCUCUCUAUCUCUCUCUCUCUCUCUCUCUCUCCGAAGGUGCGAGCGCGGACGAGACCGCCGGGUGGUGAGAUCGCACGCACCGGCGGACGACGGCAUGGGAGACCCACGCCCACGUCUCGGGAACCCCGACACGCCCUCGAGAGGGUCACACGACAGCCACACCCCCACGAAACCCCACGCACUCACACACCCUCGCCUCCUCACGACGGACAGCUCACACUAAGACUAAUAAAACACCCAUUGUGACUGCAAUCUGUCUCUUAUGGGUCUGUGCUCUGCCCUUCCCCCGAGCUAACCCCCUACAUCAGUUAAAACACAUACAUGUAAGAAACGAUUAAGAAUGGUUAAAAACAGUUUGAUUUCAUGUAAACAAAUAGAAGUAUGGCUGUAAGGAAUUGUGGUGACACUUCCCCUUGAAGUGUCUGCACUGAGCAGAGAGUGGAGAGGAGAAGCAGACAGACUAACAAGCUAAAAAGUUAAAACUCUUUUGUGAAGAGUUGAUUUAGAAGCUCAAAAACAAUACUUACCUGCUUGGGCAUUUAUGAAGAUUAAGUACAAGAAAACCACAACGUUUUUGGUGAGUUUCAACCCCUUUUACUUGAAGUGUUGUGAAUGCUAUUGUGAAGUGAAUGCUGUAAAUGCUAGCAAAGAGCUAAUGAUGUAACUCUGGAGAAAGCCGCAAACACUAUUUACCAGUAAUAACUUUGAGUUAGUUAAAGAAGCAAAGUGUGAAUUUAUAUUGUGUUAAGUUGAUUAAAUGUGAGUUUGAGCUUAUGUAAAGGAAAAAGAUGUUAUCGGCCUGACGGCAGGAGAGAAGCACUUCUCUGUCGCUUUUCUGAGGCCUAGUUAAACAUGUACAGUAAUGUAGCAGUAAUGUUAUGUUUCACAGAAAUUGUAAAGGGGUAUUUGCUUUAUUCAUGUGGUUAGAAUAAUUUAUUUCCUUUAUGACCUGUUAUACAGGUCAGGGUUUUUUUUUGUUGUUGUUUAUGUUCCUGUUUGAAAUUGGACUUUGGACUGCCACGUGUGGGGACUACGCACGCACGCACACACACACACAGACACGGGAUAAGAUGGCGAGCCAAACCCAUGGACAAAGUUUCUAGAGACAACUCGGCUUCUUCGUGCCAGAGAGGAUCUGCUGUGUACGGUGGGACGCCGGUAAACUCACUGCCUGACCGGGCCGGAGGUCACUGCACGAGAACCAGGGGACUUUGCUCGGAAAAUUGGGGCAGCUGAGUGAGCAACUGAAACAGGAAAAGCAGAAGGUGCUGAUCCUAGAAGGUCAACUUAAUAUUGCCACUGUCUCUCUACACAGCUUGUCAGAGUUUCAGGAGAGAGUCUUAGACGUUGAAGGGGAGAGAAAUCUCCUAAAGAGAAGCUAUAAUGCUUUACUGCUUAGCACUCUGUCUGCCCAGAGCCACCAUAAUGAACAUGAGAGUGAAAAAGAGAGUGAUAAACAGGAACUGGAGAACUGGAGAACUGAAAUAUUGAUACUGGAGAAGAAGCUGGAAGAUAAAAAAAGGGAGAGAGAAAAGCUGGAGCAGGAAAAAAAGAGGGUGGUACUAGACUAUGAAAGGAGUCAAAUGGAAAGAGCACAAGAAAGGGCCAUGACAACUGCCCUUAGAGAAAAACGUGACUUCCUGGAGCAAGAAGUGCUACAGUACAGACAGAAUGUGACAUCCCUACAAGAGAGACUAGACAGAGUAUCAAAAGAUUUUCAUAUGGAUGUGGAAGAUCUUCAUGAAGUUCUGAUGCAAAUUAAGGUUUUUCGACUGCAGCAUGAGAAUUGUAAGGGUCUGACUGUCCUGGUGAGUAAUGAGAAGGUCAAGGACCCAUCCCAAGAGCUGGCUGCUCUACAGGCCUCACAUGCAGAAACCAUACUAGAACUGCAGAAAACUCGGGAAUUGUUGGUAAUGCAGCAUAAGCUCAAUAGUGACCUGCAGGCUGACAUGAAGACAGAGAAGAAGAGAUCAGAAAGAGAACGAGAAUGGAAAAUGGAGGUCACUGAAAAAGACAAACUGUUGAAAAAUAGGGCAUUUCAAAUCAACAGUUUACAAUCUCAGCUGAGAGAAUUAACUUACCAUCCUAGAAACAACAAUAAGAUUAUACCACAGCAAUACACAUGGACAGGGGUGGAUCAGGAGGUAGUCCAGACGAUGGAGGGGAAUACCAUAUUAAAUCAGCUCCAGGAUGGAGGAUCCUUGCUUGAAAUCAAUCUCAUUGGAGCCACGUUCACCCCUGUGGGACUGAGACUCAUGAGACAGCAGAUAAGUGGUACCAGUGGUCCCCAUGAGUUGGUGACAUUUUGUACUUACACGUUCCUUGACUUUGAAAUGCACUCAACCCCACUAGUUUCAGGGACACAACCAAACUAUGGCUUCACAUCCUACUAUGUCCUUACUGGCCACAGCCCCACCAAGUUUGAGGUUCAAGGAGUGUUUGCACAUGUUGAAGUACAUCAGGCACUAGGAGGAGUGCAAUUCAUAACCCAGGGCAGAGCAAGUAUCCCCCUCAUACAAACGCUACAGCACAGAGGAGAAAAAGUAAAAGGGAAAGUCAACAUUACAGGAUCCAAGGGGGACAUGAUAGGGGUCCUGGAAUUCUGGGUCCGUUUGUUCUCUGAAGUGGAGCCAAAAGAUAUUCACACAGAUAUGGCACACAGAAUGACAGAAAAAAUGUUGGACAGCAUGACUGACCAAUUGCCCAUAGACAAAGCUUUAUACUGGAGUCAUAUACAGCCUGAAGAAUUAUUUGAGUAUGGCGGAGGGUUAUCCAAUGAGUUGCUGGUGGUACUGAAACGCUGUGUGGGAGUAUGCUGGCAAGGAUUUCAUACUGAUGCCUAUUUAAUUCAUCGCCUGUAUGAUCUACCCCUACGUUACACUCCUAAAGUACCAAGCUGUACAGACCCUGUGUUUUCAGAUUCUACCACCUACCCAUUAGCUGUUACAGCAGAUCUGAUUGAAUACCUGAAGGUGAGCAGCCUAUGGGUGUACAUGAUUGAUGACAGUGAAUGCCAGCCUCCUACUACUUAUCUGGCCAAGACACCAGUGCCACUGCAGGCCCUAAUAACAGGCAGGCCAAUUAAAGGUUGUUAUGUCCUGAGGGACCCUGCAGGGAUUCCUAGAGGCAUAGUGAGCGUGCAUAUCCAGUGGAGGUACCCAUUCCAGUCACCUGAGGCCCUAUUCAGACCAACACAAAAAUGGAAAAUAGAGAGAGAUGGAAAGUGGCUCAAAAAUGUUGAAGACAAAACUCAAGCAUCACCGAGGUCAAUUGCAAAACUGCGAGUGGUUUCAGAGCCUUUUCCCUCAACACUGGGGACAAGGCAGGAGAUUCAGCCCACACAGUAUGCCAGUCUAUCACAAGCCAGACUCAGUCAUCCAGAGCCUUCCAAUCUACUACUCAAAAUGCAUAGACCUGCAGGAUCUCAACAACCCCAGUUUCCUGCACACAAAUCAACGCCAAGAGAACCAGUAGCUAAAUGGAUACAGUUUCCAAUUUAUAACCAAACCUGUCAUAGAAGGUCAUUCAACAACAGUCUGAACAUGCGUGACUCUGAUCAAACCUCAGCUAGUACCAAGCAAAUGAGCUCAAGACAUCAUUCACAGGAACACAAGGAGAAGGGAGAAGAAGAAUCCCAUGAUGUAAUUCUGAGAGAUCAAAUGGACAGUGAAGUUCUAGAGUCUUCGGAAUCCAUCAAGUCCAGUGAUAGUGAUGUUAUCAUUCACCAGCCUCAAAGGCAUGUCAAAGAGGGCAACAGACUUAAAGUUGAGAUCUUAUCACUUUUGCUUGACCCUUCCUCAAGUGUUGCUUUAGACCAAGCUGUGCAGCAAGUUUAUGUGGAGUACCGCCUUUUAGGCAUUCCCAUGGAAACCACAGAAACCCCAAUGUCUCUGCAAAAACCAACAGAGGGAGAAGAAAUACAUUUCAACUUCAGCAGAGGUACAGUUGAAGAUUGCAGUUGAAGAUUGCAACCCUCAUGAAAAAAGCCUGGUUUGAAAAUAAUGACUCAGAGAAUUUUCAGGAGGCUCAUGUGCAGUCAGAAGCCAUUACAGAAAAAGCAAGCUGUAUUUCAUUUAACUAACCAAUUUUGAGGUGGCUUCCCAAUGUAGCCUUUACAUAAUGCAAGAUUACAUAAUCCAAGAAAUGUUUUGUUUUCACAUUUACAUGAUAAAAUCCCAUUAAGACAUAAAUGAAAGGACAAGAAACUUAAUUUUAUUGGCACACAGCUGUCUCUCACUUUAAAUGUUAACCAUAUCACACUGUUUGUUCUAUUACUAUUGAGCCAAAGAGUGAGGGAGCCAAGUCACUAAUGUCAGUGACAGGAGCCAGCAAGGACUGUUAAUAUAUGAAACAGUUGUGAUGAACUUAAAUGAAGUUAACUAACUAAGUAGAGAAAGUUAAGUAAUGCUAAUUAUCUCAUUAAAAUAAUUAACUUUCAGAUAUUAAUCUACACUUAGAUGUCCUUCAUUACUUCCCCACCAGUGGUUCUAACAAUACCUUGCCAUCAUUAACAACAUAUAGUUAGCUAGCUAUCAGUUAAUCUAUUGGCUAGUGAACUUCAGAGGUUACCGGUGUGAGACAGUUGGUUUACUCUUCAACAUAACUUCUACUCAUAUACCGCUACCUACCUACCUACCCAACCUCCCCGUGUCCUUUAAUGUCACAUAAGAACAAACAAAUUAUUGCAGUUUUUCUCAAUUUUGUACUAACUCCAGCUCACAGCAUGUCUCGCUCUGACUUUGUGCUUCUGCCUCCAAGGUGUGUCUCUUUAUUGUGCGUAGGUGUCCCCUCUUUCUUUUGCCUCCUGGUAUCCAGUGGAGUGCCACUCUUGCUAUGUUGUCUUCAUUCCUGCGGACAUGGCCAACCCAUCUCCAUCUCUUUCCUGUAAUGGUUGCUGUGAUUUCCAUCUGUUCAGAAUCAGAAUAAUUUUAUUUACUAUAUACAUUUACAUGUAUUUUUAUUUUUUCUUGGUGUUUCAACACAAGAAAACAUUCAUACAUUCAACACACACACAUCUCGGACAACACCACACAAUUAACAUCCUAAUAUACAGAUAUUGCACUUAAUAAACAAAUAUUUCACGUUUAAACACAAAUGAUAGGCUCAUAUGUAAUUUACAUUACAGUGGAAGUAGAAAUAGCAGCUGGAUGCAGUUCAGGGUGGAUUAAACUGAGUGGAACAAUUGUGAUAUAAAUAAAAGCUAUAUAUAAUAAUAUAAAAAUUAUAUAUAGUAAUAACAAUAGUAAUAAAUAUGUUUAACAAAUAGUAAUAAAUAGUAGGGGCAGUGGUGGCUUAGCGGUUAAGGCUCUGGGUUUCUGAUUGGAAGAUUGGGAGUUCAAGCCCCGGCACUGCCAAAAUGCCACUGUUGGGCCCUUGAGCAAGGCCCUUAACCCUCUCUGCUCCAGGGUCAGCCAUGAUACAGCACCCCAGGAGCAGAGAGGGUCAGCCUGACCCUGACAUGCUGGGGUGUGUGAAAAAAAGAAUUUCACUGUGUGUAUUUAUUGAUAUAUGUGAGCAAUAAAGACUCAUUAUCAUUAUUUAAUGAAAAUAAUACAACCCCAAUUCCAAAAAAGUUGGGACACUGUGCAAAAUGUAAAUAAAUGUAAAAACAAAAACAAAAAAACAGAAUGCAACAAGUUGCAAAUCUCAUAAACCCAUAUGUUUUUCACAAUAGAACAUAGAAAACAUAUCAAAUGUUUAAACUGAGUAAAUGUACCAUUUUAAGGAAAACAUAAGGUAAUUUUGAAUUUGUUGGCCACAACAUGUCUCAAAAAAGUUGGGAAGGGGCCAACAAAAGGCUGGAAAAGUAAGUAAAUGUUACUAAAAAGAAACAGCUGAAGGAACAUUUUUAGCAACUGGUAUGUUUCAAUUGGCAACAGGUCAGUAACAUGAUUGGGUAUAAAAAAGAGUAUCUUAGAGAGGCAGAGUCUCUCAGAAGUAAAGAUGGGAUGGAAUCUGGAUGGAAGCAUAUAUUGCUCUAAAACCUGUAUAUACAUUUCAGCAUAGAUGGUGCCUUUCCAGAUGUGCAAGGUGCCCUUUUCAUAGGCACUAAUGCACCACCAUACAAUUAGAGAUGCAGACUUUUGAACCGAGCGCUGAUAAAAAGCUGGAUGGUCCCUCUUCUAUUUGGUCCUCUUUAGUUUAGAGGAUGUGGCAUCCAUGGUUUCCAAAAAUAAUUUAAAAUUUAGAUUCGUCUGACCACAGAACAGUUUUCCUCUUUACCUCAGUCCAUUUUAAAUGAGCUUUGGCCCAGAAAUGACUGUGGGCCUGAACAAAAUCCUCCCUGGUGGUUGAUAUAUGAGACCACCGUUGUGUUGUCUGUCACAACUAACACAUGGUGACCUCUCAAUUGAGGAAGAAAGAAUUUCAGUGCUAGAAACAUGGCCUGCAUUUCUAGGCGAUUUAUAUGCCACUCCAGAUGAGGGCCACUCCAGAGACGUGAGUUGGUCCAGCCUGUGAGGGAUGUGUCUGUUAUUACCGUCUUUCAAUAAGGAGACACCCCUAGAGUGUGAUGCAAGGCUAAAAACCGGAGACACCUCCAAAUUGUCAGAGCACGUAGGCAUCGAAGCAUGGCACCGAUUACUCUGAGAUUUCGUCCGAGGAUGAAACCCCCGACUUUUCAGCCACCACUGAAAUGGUAUCCUGUGCAAUUGGCCCAAUGUUGUGAUGUUGGCUGCUUCUGCAUUAAGCCCCAACACUCUCUGGUUUUCUGCUCCACAGAGGAGAAAAGUCUAGUAAAGAUUGAUCUUUGUCUGCUGUAUUGUCUUGACCUACAUACAGGAGCAAGUUUUGCACAGUCCUGUCUGGCUUUGCUUAGUCUGCGACUAAUGCCCUCUUCUGCCCCACCACUUUCAGUGACCACACUGCCAAGAUAAGUGAAGGUCUCUGUUGCCUUUGUUUCUUCUUCUACAGCUGUUUUCCUCCCUCUUGCUGUUUAUUCGCAUCAGUUUAAUUUUCUUUGCAUUGACUUUCAUUCCUAUUCGGUGGAAAUAUCUCCAUAGCCUGUCCAUCUUUUCCUGGAUGUGGCACUCUGUGUGAAACAUAACUUGUCUUUCCUUGCCUUGGAGAACUGUUUUUUCUUAGCAUGUUCAAUACUUUUUUCCUGUGUCAUUCCACUUUAUUACACAUAACUUUAUUUAUGGACUUUAAUGUCGUGGAUUCUUUAUAUUUCCUGAUCUUUUGAGUUAGUACAGAUGUCUGGAGAACAUUUCAUGUGAAUAGCCUCAUUGGAAAUAUAUUUACUGAAAAAAAUAUUGAAGCAUCCAAUACUUAUUUCCCCCAAUGUAUGUAUUCUGUGCUAUGUUCUAAGAUGUUUCUUAGAGUGAAUGUUCUGCCCAGUCCAGUCUGCCUGCUCCUUUCUAAGCAGUGUGUCUAACUCUGGAACUAGUCUCUAUUUAAUGAUUCUAUAUAAAAUCUUGCUGGGAAUAGAUAGCAGAGUGAUUCCUCUCCAGUUGUUGCAGAUAGGUUGCCCGUCGCCUGCUGUUUUAUUGUAAAGCACUUUGAGAAAGCAACUUUUAUAUACGCUAUACAAAAUGUUGUUGUUGUUGUUGUUGUUGUUGUUGUUGUUGUUGUUAUUAUUAUUAUUAUUAUUAUUAUUAUUAUUAUUAUUAUUAUUAUUUGGUAUUUGUAUAAUGUUGCCUUUUCUCAAAUCUGGUAGAAUAACGUCUAAUGUCUAUAUUGCUUUGAAGAGUGGGUGAAGUGCAAUGGCAGCCAUGUGAGGAUCAGCCUUGAAUAGUUAUGGGUUUAGUUGGUCAUCCCCAUGGUAUUUUCACUUUUCAUUACUUUGAUAGCCUCCAUGAUCUCAUUCACUGUCGGUGGCUCUGGGUUGACAUGGAGCUCCCUUCUGGUGUCAUCAAUUUCUGCUGGAAUGCCUGAAUCAGGCCUGUUCAGUUUCUCAGUUUCCACAGAGGGAUCUAGUAAACUGAUAUAGGGUUAUAAGCUCAUUGAAAAGUACAGUAAUAUGGGCUUUGACUUUCUGUGAUACAUGGUCUUCAUGUUUCCAAUUUUGAUUACAAAUACAGAAUUUACUGGUAUGGUCAGUUAUGUCUUUUCAUGCAAGCACAGAAUGUAUAUGCAAAUCAACCAUCAUUUGUCUCUGUUGUGUGUUCGAGUUUAACUUGUAAACAGAGUGAGGCAAGAGGAGGCAACCAUCCAUUGACCUUGGUGUGAGUGCUUUGACAUUGGCCUCAUAUUUUGUGUUUCCUUAAUUUUCAGUUACAAAAUUAUGUACAAGAAUGUACAGGUGGAUCUAAAAAAAAUCUGAAUAUCGUGAAAAAGUUCAUUUUUCCCUUAAUUUAAUUUAAAAAGUGGAACUUUCAAAUACUCUAGAUUCAAUACACAUAAAGUGAAAUAUUUCAAGCCUUUUUUGUUUUAUAUCUCAUGGAAAUAAAAAAAAUCCAGUAUCUCAAAAUAUUAGAAUAAAGAAUUUAUAAAACAGAAAUGUCGACCUUCGGAAACGUAUGAUAAUUUACACACUCAAUAUUUGGUUGGGACUCCUUUUGCACGAAUUACUGCAUCAAUGCGGCGUGGCAUGGAGACACUCUCCUGAAGAUGAAUGUCCAGUCUUUAGUCCUUAAACUGAAACUCAAGCGCAACUGGAUUAUGCAGAAAGACAAUGAUCUAAAAUAUAGGAGUAAAUUCUAGUCCUAGAAGUAAGUGAAAGACUGAUCUCCAGUUAUCUGAAGUGUUUGGUUACAGUUAUUGCUGCUAAAGGUGGCACAACCAGAUUUAAAUUUAAAGGGGCAAUUAGUAUUUCACAUGGGUGAUUUGAUACUCUUUUUUUGCUUCAGAAAUUAUAAAUAAAUAAAUAACUGUAUUGUGUGUUUACUAGGGAUGUCACGAGAACCGAUACUUCAGUACCAAGUCGGUACCAACAUUCUUAAAAUGUGACGGUACUUGUUUUUCUGCAGUAGCAUAAGUACCAUUAGUAAUGAAGUACCGGCGUUGCAAUUCUUUCGGAACUGAUUGGGGCAGCAUAUACGUGUAAGUCUUUUAGUCAGUCCACACAUGCUAAAGAAGAAAAAGAACACCUACAAGCACACAGGAAAAAGGACUGCGAAAAGUUUAGCUCCACCCUGACUCGUUGAGAGGAAAGGUGGUAAGAGUCAAAUAUGGAAAUACUUCGCAUUUGACACAGAUGACAACAAACAUAUAAUUGAAAGCUGGUGUGCAACCGAUGCCAUUGUUCAUUUCAAACAAAGGGUAGAAACACUUCAAAUUUGUCGAAGCACCUGAAAGACAGGCACCUGAUCUCUUCAAAGAAUUCCAGGUGAGUGAAUUUCAAGUCAUCAAGGUGUUCCAAUUAGCUUUUUUUGAGUUUCCAUUUUUGAGGUCUUUGUUGUGUAUCUGUUAUGAUCAGGGGAAAGUGGUCACUUUCGCACAUAUCAUCCCAGACAUGCCAUGAAAAAUCGAUAGAGGUUACAAAAAGUCAAAUCAGAGAAGAUUCCAUGACCCAGAUGCAGAAAAGUAUUUGAACCAUCAAACAUAGGUCAUUUUCAUUAAUAAGCUUUUCUAUCUUCUUUCCCUUUGUAUGAAGAUGUUUGCCUCCCCACAAAGGGUUGUGACUGUUGAAGUCACCCAUGAGAAUAUAGGGCAGUUGUAACUGUUUUACAAGUUUGUCUAAGUCUUGGUAUGUUACAGCAAAAUCAGGAGUUAUACAAAUAGUGCACAAAGUAAUGGAAACUAUGGUAAUGGUUAUGUUAGUCAAAAUGCUAUUGCUUGUAAGUUGGUGUCUACUGCCAUAUUACUGUGGUAGACAUCAUGUCUUAUUAAUAUAGAUGAGCCACCAGAGGGGUGUACAAUAUUUGGACCAUAGGCAUUUAAGAAUGUUAACCGUUUAAGAAACACUUUGCAAUUUGUGGUAAGAUGGGUCUCCUGUAGGCAGAAAUCCAGAGGAUUAUAAACCACAGCUAAAAGCUGCAGUUCUGCAAAAUUGUCUUUAAGACUGCGACAAUUCCAGUGUUUUACUGUAUCUGCUUAUACAGUUUCAAGUGGGUAGAACAAGAGGAUGCCCCUUGUUUCUACCUUUUGGAGAGAGGCUACAGCUAUGAGAGCACGUGUCCUCUCCACAGUUACAGCAGGUGGGUUUAUUUUUGCAGCCAGUAGAUCCAUGUCUGAACUUCUGGCAAUUGAAAUGUCUGAGCAGGUUAGGUAUUUACAUUUCAACAGGAACACUUAAAAAUCCUAUUAGAAUCUUUUCCAGAUGAUGGUGUCUGUUGAAGUUUGGAUGCAAGUUCCUGUUUUAAUAAUGCAGCAUCUUUCUUGAUUGUGAUCCUCUCAACCUCUAUCAGAUCUUGUGACAUAAUUUCCGCAGUUAUUUAAUUGUCCUCCAUGUUCUCUAAUUCUCUAGUGUGGAUUACUCCUUUACUAUUAUUUAGAGAUAGAUGAAAGUUUUUAUAACCAUACCGACUAGCAUAUUUGCAUAUAGUAGAUUUCAGCUUGGACUUUUUUGAACAUUCCACCAGUAUCUGGCCAGAUCUUAUCUUCUUGACAUCCUUCACCAUCCCUGCUAUUCCUGACAUACCUUUCUUUCUAUAUAGUGCAUGGGGACAGCUUAGAAAGUGUCAUAUCGGGGAAUAGGGACUAAGUAAGAAUAUAUCCCUGCCAGUUAUCACUUUUGGGGAAAAAAAAAAAGCAAUAACUAUUUCCUAAUUCACAAUCCAAUUCUUGGUCCAACAAUUGUUUUAGUGUUGGAUUUUUUUUUUUUGCCAGAUUUUAUGUAGUUUUGUUUCAUCAUCCCUAUUCUUCACCCAUCUUGGAGCCCAACAAGGGGAAGUACAGAGCUGUGAAAAUCCACCAGGUAUGCAUCAAAGAUAUAGGAAUGAUAUACUUGAGCAAGCACACAAGGGGUUUGAAUUAUUUGAUUGACCCUCAGCCAACUGCUUCUGGAAAUCUGCAAAUUGUUCUAAACUAUGGUAAAAUUCCCAGGACAAGUCUUGUCUUGCCAAUUGGUUGGAAUGGGUCCUUCCAACCACCUGUUGAAAUGAAGUAGGAGCCAAAGUAUUGUGUUUGAGCUGGGACAGCUGCAGGGUGCCUCAUUCCUCAUUCCAGGAUCUCUUCUUCCACUGACACAGUCAUAUAUGUUGACUCCAUGGAGGCAGCUCCUCUUAGGCAAUACCUCUAUACUAUACUGGAAAGGACUGAUACUAAACAGGGCAG